rnacentral:misc_RNA from 1 species
UCGUCGAUGCCAUCCACGGUGUUGACGACUUCUUCAAUCUGCUGCGUUACCAGGGAUUCAACUUCUUCGGGCGAGCCGCCCGGCAGACUUGUGCGCACGCUUACGGUGGGAAGAUCGACCGAGGGAAAACGGUCGACUCCGAGUUUGAAGAAGCUGGCGCUGCCUACAACGACCAGCGACAGAACGAUCAUCGCCGCGAAAACGGGGCGACUAAUACAAAUCUCGGCUAGUUUUU